ACCUUCCUCGGCUGCUGUCAUCGCCUGAGUAUCCACAUAUAGGACAGAGGACAGCUCAGGCUCCCCCAGAACCGCGCCAGGAGACUUUGCACAGAGCUGGGGGACUGGCACCUUGGAGCGCUUGUGCUGCCUGGAACAGAUGGUACAUCCUGGGCGCAGGGUGAUUUUGCUGAAACAGGACUAAGGAAGGAGGGUCACAAAGAGAGGAGAGAGACCAUAGUAACUUUUAUAUGUAUCAUCCAUGAUACACCUGUGUGGUCCUGGGGUUCAAACCCAAGACUUAAUGCAUAACAAGAGUGGAUUUAGAAGAGGAAGCAGAGCUCUCAGGUGGAAAGCUCAGAACUGUCGACAAAGUGAGUGUGAAACAUAAAUGUAUUACAUUAACCCAAAACCAGAUACCUUCCUAACUUGUCUUUUAAUUGGAUAAAAUAAAUGCUAACAACUAUUUCAAA